rnacentral:rRNA from 1 species
AUGUAUAGGGGUGUGGGUGGUAACGCGGGGAAGUGAAACAUCUUAGUACCCGUAGGAAGAGAAAACAAGUGUGAUUCCGUGAGUAGUGGCGAGCGAAAGCGGAGGAGGCUAAACCGUGUGUGUGUUCAAGCCGGCAGGUGUUGCAUGUGCGGGGUUGUGGGGGCCUUGUGGUUCUGCUGCCGCAGGAUUGGCCAGUGAGAAAUGUUGCGUGAAGGUGAAGCGUCUGGGAAGGCGUACCGGAGUGGGUGAGAGUCCUGUAACUGUAAGCGUGGCACUGGUGUGGGGUUGCCCCGAGUAGCGUGGGACUCGUGGAAUUUCGCGUGAAUCUGGCGGGACCACCCGUCAAGCCUAAAUACUCCUUGGUGACCGAUAGUGGAUGAGUACCGUGAGGGAAGGGUGAAAAGUACCCCGGGAGGGGAGUGAAAGAGUUCCUGAAACCGGUCGCAUGCAAGCCGUCAGAGCCUGUGUGGUGAUGGCGUGCCUUUUGAAGAAUGAGCCUGCGAGUUAGUGAUGCGUGGCGAGGUUAACCCGUGGUGGGGGAGUCGUAGCGAAAGCGAGUCCGAUAAGGGCGUGAGUCGCGUGUUCUAGACCCGAAGCGGUGUGAUCUAUCCAUGGCCAGGAUGAAGCGUCGGUAAGACGUCGUGGAGGUCCGAACCCACUUCAGUUGAAAAUGGAGGGGAUGAGUUGUGGAUAGGGGUGAAAGGCCAAUCAAACACCGUGAUAGCUGGUUCUCCCCGAAAUGCAUUUAGGUGCAGCGUUGCGUGGUUCUUGUUGGAGGUAGAGCACUGGAUGGUCUAGGGGGCUUAUCGGCUUACCGAAAUCAGCCAAACUCCGAAUGCUGGCAAGUGUAGCGUGGCAGUGAGACGGCGGGGGAUAAGCUUCGUCGUCGAGAGGGAAACAGCCCAGAUCAUCAGCUAAGGCCCCUAAGUGGUGACUCAGUGGGAAAGGAUGUGGAGUUGCGUAGACAACCAGGAGGUUGGCUUGGAAGCAGCCAUCCUUGAAAGAGUGCGUAAUAGCUCACUGGUCAAGUGAUUCCGCGCCGAUAAUGUAGCGGGGCUUAAGUUAUCCGCCGAAGCUGUGGCAACCUGUGUGGUUGGGUAGGGGAGCGUCGUGUCAGUGGUGAAGCUGCCGGGUGACUGUGUGGUGGAGUUGAUGCGAGUGAGAAUGCAGGCAUGAGUAGCGUGUGACGGGUGGGAAUCCCGUCCGCCGAUUAUCCAAGGGUUCCAGGGUCAAGUUUGUCUGCCCUGGGUGAGUCGGGUCCUAAGGCGAGGCCGACAGGCGUAGUCGAUGGGUAACCAGUUGAUAUUCUGGUACCGGCUUGUCACCGUCCGUGUCGAGGUGUGUGAUGCUAAGCAUGUGAGCUUGUCUUGGGAGUGUUUUUGAUGCUUCUGGGGUGGGUGAGUGUGUGAACCGAUCAUGUAG